GGUUAAGUGAAUAAGCGUGCACGGUGGAUGCCUUGGCAGUCAGAGGCGAUGAAGGACGUGGAAGUCUGCGAAAAGCGUGGGGGAGUUGACAACAAGCGUUAAUCCCACGAUGUCCGAAUGGGGAAACCCACCUGU
rnacentral:rRNA from 1 species